AGAGAAUCACUUGAACCUGGGAGGUGUAGGUUGCAGUGAGCCAAGAUUGUGCCACUACACACCAACCUGUGCAACAGAG
rnacentral:snRNA from 1 species